GAUGAACGCUAGCGGCAGGCCUAAUACAUGCAAGUCGAACGGGGUUGAGUAGCAAUACUCAAUUCAGUGGCGCACGGGUGCGUAACGCGUAUGCAACCUACCUUAAACUGGGGGAUAGCCUUCCGAAAGGAAGAUUAAUACCGCAUAAUACCUUUUGAUGGCAUCUGAAGAAGGUUAAAGAUUUAUUGGUUUAAGAUGGGCAUGCGUGCCAUUAGCUAGUUGGUGAGGUAACGGCCCACCAAGGCUACGAUGGCUAGGGGUUCUGAGAGGAUGAUCCCCCACACUGGUACUGAGAUACGGACCAGACUCCUACGGGAGGCAGCAGUAGGGAAUAUUGGGCAAUGGCCGAGAGGCUGACCCAGCCAUGCCGCGUGCAGGAAGAAGGCCUUCUGGGUUGUAAACUGCUUUUAUCAGGGAAGAAAACGCUCCUGCGGGAGUAACUGACGGUACCUGAUGAAUAAGCACCGGCUAACUCCGUGCCAGCAGCCGCGGUAAUACGG
rnacentral:rRNA from 1 species